rnacentral:rRNA from 1 species
UACGGGGGGAGCAAGCGUUGUUCGGAUUUACUGGGCGUAAAGGGCGCGUAGGCGGCCACCGCAAGUCAAUUGUGAAAUCUCCGGGCUUAACUCGGAAAGGUCAACUGAUACUGCGGGGCUAGAGUGCGGAAGGGGCAACUGGAAUUCUCGGUGUAGCAGUGAAAUGCGUAGAUAUCGGGAGGAAUACCGAUGGCGAAGGCAGGUCUCUGGGCUGACACUGACGCUCAUGCACGAAAGCGUGGGGAGCAAACAGG